rnacentral:tRNA from 1 species
AGGGAUAUGGUGUAGCGGUAUCACAAGACACUUUGACUGUCUCGAGCCUAGUUCAAGUCUAGGUAUCCCUG